GGUCCUAUGUGUAGGGGUUAUCACGCCUGCCUGUCACGCAGGAGAUCGCCGGUUCAAAUCCGGCUAGGACCG
rnacentral:tRNA from 1 species